CAGAGGAGCAAUUAUGGUUGAUCAAGCCAA
rnacentral:piRNA from 1 species